GACUGGAUAGCUCAAUCAGUUGAGCAUGGUGCUGAUAACAUCAAGGUCAUGGGUUCGAUUCCCGUUUGGUCU
rnacentral:tRNA from 1 species